GAUGAACGCUGGCGGCGUGCCUAAUACAUGCAAGUCGAGCGAACGGACGAGACUUUUGCUUGUCUCUUGUUAGCUGUGCAUGGGUGAGUCACACGUGGAUAACCUACCUAUAUGACGGGGAUAAUUUCGAGACACCGGUGCUAACACCGUAUAAUCUUUUGAUCCGCAUGGUUCAAAAGUGAAAGUCGCUGUUGCUGCCACCCAUAGCCGGCUCCGCGCUGCAUUAGCUGGUUGUUGAGGUAACGCCUUAUCAAGGCAACGAUGCAUAGCCGACCUGAGAGGGUGAUCGGCCACACUGGAACUGAGACGCGGUCCAGGCUCCUACGGGAGGCAGCAGUGGGGAAUGUUCCGCAAUGGGCGAAAACCUGACGGAACAACGCGGCGUAAGUGAUGAAGGUCUUCGGGUCGUAAAUCUCUGUUAUUAGGGGAGAACAUAUUUGUAAGUAACUGUGCACAUCGUGACGGUACCUAGUCAGGAAGCCACGGCUAACUACGUG
rnacentral:rRNA from 1 species